rnacentral:lncRNA from 1 species
GUUGCCAUAAUACAAUAUAGGUAACAUUGAUUGGGUCUAGAGGCGUUCCAAGAUUUCAUCAUUUCGUGGGAGGAGGGUGUGUGGCUUUGCACAAUUAUCAACAUCGUAGUAUAAGUCCUACGCAGAUAGAACGUUACUUGUUGUUUUAGUGGAUAGCCAGAAGUGUUUGACCUCCUUUAAAUAAAAUGGCAUCGAUCAACAAAGUAUUUAUUGUACAAUCGGGGUAUAAAUGCCUGCACAGGUCUUUUUUCUUUUCUUUGGACGUAUAAAGGAACUGGAAUAGUCUGUUGGUGAUUAUGAAUCAAGAACAAGGCUUGCAGAUCACAAGAUGAGAGGAGCAAUUGAAUAAAAGACCUACAGAUCCUCCAGCAAUAGAAUAUCCGAGCUGCUGUCCAGGGUACAAUAUGAAUUCCGGAAUCUACCUACAGAAUUUCAUCAAGACCCACUUCCGUUUUAGAGGUUUAGUCGAAGCUGAUAUUGUCGGCAAAGGAAAUUAUAUUUACUAUUAAUAUUUAUAAUUUAUUCAGCUUUCCAUUAGGCACUGGUUUUUAUUAAUCAGAAAAUCAAUCGUGUUGGUUUGUAUGUAUUCGA